rnacentral:rRNA from 1 species
AACGUAGGAGACAAACGUUAUCCGGAGUUACUGGGCGUAAAGGGCGUGUAGGCGGUUUGUUAAGUCUGGCGUGAAAGCUCUCGGCUAAACCGGGAGAGGUCGUUGGAUACUGGCAAACUAGAGGACGGUAGAGGCGUGUGGAAUUCCGGGUGUAGUGGUGAAAUGCGUAGAGAUCCGGAGGAACACCAGUGGCGAAGGCGGCAUCCUGGACCGGUAUUGACGCUGAGGCGCGAAAGCCAGGGGAGCAAACGGG